rnacentral:misc_RNA from 1 species
CAAUUGCCCGUCAAGAAAAAGCCUGGGAUUCCACUUGCCACAUGGUUUAAUAAUCUAACCUUAACUGUGUUUCUUGCAGUCUACCCAAUAUAAAUAUUCUCCCUGUUCCUUCAGAGUUCAGACAGAAUGAUACGUAACUAUAACUGUAACCACCAAUUGAAGCUCAUGUUACUUACUUGACUAGACAGCUAACCAUGUCGGCCGAUAUCUCGGAUAACAUGUCCGCCACCGCUAGAACGCUCAGCGAAAUAUCGGAGGUCGACACGGUGCGCCUCACUUUGGAUCUUGUAUCGGCUGCCAAACGAAAUGUCGGAUUCUUGAGAGCUGUGAGUGAGUCCCAAUGGCUGCAUGACAGAGCCACCGUUGUUGAAGCUAUACGAAGGUCAGCUGAUAAAUAUUUACUGUUCAUUGUGAAAAGUAAUCUAAUUGGACGGUGAAUAUGCAUUGAAUGUUCUAUCUUCGCUUUUAAUUUUGCAGGUAUGAUGAGCUUUGGAUGCCGUUGAUGUCUGAUCUCUUAGUGUUGGGGUCAACGCCUCCUAUGGUUCUUCCUCCUUUUGAUAUUGAAUGGGUUUGGUUCUGUCACACCUUGAAUCCGGUGAGUUACCGGCAAUACUGCGAGACAAGGUUCUCAAAAUUCUUAGGCAAGCCAGCGAUUUUCGAUGAGGAAAAUGAAGAGUACGCAUUAAUGAGAUGCAAGGAGCUUUGGAUGCGUAGAUACCCAAAUGAGUGCUUUGAGAAUCAAGUUGAUUCGAGCUUAUUACAAUCAGACCCAGUUGUUAAAAACGAAGAUCUAUUAAAUGAAGUUACGAAGCAGAGACUUCUGUGUAGUAAGGUUUCGUGGCCAUAUAUAAGUGAGCUUGUGUACUUGAUAGCUGCCAGACAAAGAUACAAGGGAUUCAUGCUGUAUGUGUUGCAGAGAUUCACAGAUGGGUGUUCUCGUAUAGUGCCUAGUUUGGAUAUCUUCCUAAUGUGGAUGACGCACCAGAGUUACCCAACUGUGUAUGCUGAGGAUAUGAAGGAGAUGGAGGGUGAAAUAUUGGGGAAGAUUGUGGGAAUGUGGCAGACUGUGAAAGAAAAAGAGGUAGAAGAGACAAAGAAACUAUGGGAAAAAGCCUUUGAUCAACCUUAUGAGAAAGCUGGUGGGACCAUAGAGUUUCAUGGGCUUGCUCCAUUUAAGCCACCAGUUUAUUGGGAAGUCUCUAAUUCAGAUGUUAACACCAAAUACAAGUCCUUGCUUCCAAGGUUCCUUCUAGAGGUGUGCAUUUUUGUGAGGCUCAAAUCUAGAAUGAGUAUAGAGGCAGUGCCAGAUGAUAAAAAACACAACUUUCUGCGUCUGCGAAUGCUAAGAUGCCACAGUGAGCUGAAGAUUGAUAAACCCAUGUCCGGUUUCUCCUUGGAUUCAUGGAAGAAAGCUUCUCAUCUCUAUUGUGAGUUUAACACAAAAGGACUAAUGCUUGAGCUGCAUAAACUUGGUGGUGGUUGCUUUAAAACAAGAAAAAUAGAAGACACUGCUACAUUUCUUUGGAAUGAUUUACUAAGAGCAAACUCUCUUACUAUGGAAAGAGAACUUGGUAAACAGAUGAGGGUUGUUCUUUCGAUAACCCCACCAGUUCAGGCAUCAUACUUGUUGAAAUGUGUUCCUGACAGAGUCACGGAUGAUUCAGGGGCUAUGGUAUCAGAUGUGAUUCUGAGAAUGAAUCAUUACAAGCCUCAAGAGGGUCGGUGGCUAUCUCGCACUGUUCUUGAUCAUGCAGGGAGAGAAUGUUUCGUAGUUCGAAUAAGGUAACCUUGUUUGGACGUAUUUUCUGUGGUUUUGAAUGAUUAGACCAUGUGAAAAUUCUUUUUUCAUUAGUUGAUAAGGUAAAUUUUGGAUUGAAUUCUAGAGUGGGAGGAGGGUUUUGGAGGAGAGGAGGUGAAACCCCAUCAGCUGUGAAAUGGGAGGAUAGGAUCAUAGAGGUACGCGAAGGUUCUUGGUCAUAUGUGGCUGGUUCGAUUGGUAAAGCACCUGGUAAUAUGUUGUCUAUUAGUCAUGCCAUUGAUGACCUUAAUCAUUUCUUUUGGAUCCUCCAUUCUUUGUGAAGUUGAUUUGGUGGUGGUGUUGCCAUCUAGUACAGAGAAAGUAGUAGGAACAGCUACACCAAAAGAGCCUCAAGAAAAUUGGCAAGCUUCUUGGUGUUUCUCAACAGGAGAAGAAUUUUCAGUAAGUUGGCAAUCACCAUCAACAUCAUUGUGUGACCUGAGGUUUUGUUUAACAAAUCAAACAUCUCCAGAUUCAACGGUGAAACUGUUGAAAGGGAGGAAAAUGCAAUAUCAAGCCAAGAAAAUUAGAUCAGAAAGUAAAGAACUAGAGAAGCAGAACAAGGAAGUAAAUAACAAUGAAGAGGAAGAAGAAGAUGAGGAAGGCUCUGUGACGCUUGUUCGGUUCACAGAAGAUAACCCAACCGGAAGAGCAACAGCUCUACUCAAUUGGAAGUUACUGAUAAUUGAAGUAUUGCCUGAAGAGGAUGCAGUUCUGGCAAUUCUACUGUGCAUUUCAAUCCUUAGAAGUGUAUCAGAAAUGAGAAAGGAAGAUGUGGGAAACUUACUGAUUAGGAGGAGAUUAAAAGAAGCAAAACUUGGAAGCAGAGAUUGGGGUUCAGUGAUACUUGAUCCUUCUUCUUUUUCAUCAUCAAUUUCUUCACCUUAUCUUGAGCCCUGGUAUUGGAAUCCCAAAGCAGUUGUUACAUCAGAGACAGGUCCUAAUGUAACAAGGCAACCUGCUACUAAUUAUUCUCCAGUAGAAGGUGGUGAUAAGUUGUAUAAGCGUGGGAUUAUCACAUAACAAAAAUAACACAAAUUCAUAUGAGUGAAAACUAGUUUGGAAUCUGUAGGCAUCAUCUUAGUUGGGCUUUGCCAAGCUUCUUGGGACUGAAUGGGCUUUGUAUCAAGUAUCCAUAUGAAUGGUGGCCCAUAGGAAACAAGUGGAAGAUGACCUCCAAGUCCAUAGAAGAGGAAGUGGGUUGGGUUUUUUUUUUAAUAGAGGGAAAAGGCAAACAAAGAAUAAAUCUAAUUUUAUUAGGUGAGUGGUAUGUUUUCGCUAUUUAAAUUUGCAUUGUAUUUUGUAAUGAGAUUUUUUUUUAAAUAUUUUUAAGGAAGACUUUAUUGUUCUAGAGAAAUGUGGAAUGUGGUUCGGUUUCCAUGGAUUGAAUGGUUAGAAUAUAUUUUAUACAGAUUAUUCAGAAAAAGAAGAAAAAAG